AGUGGAAGAAAGUAGAGUGGAAUUUAUACCAUACUUAAUAUUGUAAUCCACCGAAUUUAGCAACUGAGUGAGUCAAGGUUCAAGAUGCAGGAAUAUGCGUGUUUAAAGUGGGCAUUUUAUCAACGAAUAUGCAAAGGCAGUAAACCGUCAUUGAAUUAAACAACUCUGAAACGAUAAAGUUCAAACCAGAAGGAAGACUGCAAUCACGCAUUUUAGAGGAGCUGUAACUGCAGAGCUUGAGAACCGAUGAGAGCACGUUGCAAAAACUGCAAUAUUACAAUGUGCAGUUAAAAAACAGCGCUUUUAAAUUCAACGAAGUGGACCAAGAAACUAUGGUUUGAUUUGCUGUCAUUUUUGCACAAAUACACAAUUUGUAUGCAUUAAUUUAUUUAAGAAGGCAGCAUAUACAGGACUGGUAAUCUGCUGCUUCUAAUGUGGUUAAGAUAACAACGUGGUGGGUUGCACCACGUAUUGUACACAUAUUAAUGCCUAUGAAAAAAAGUGUGUUUUGACUGCAUAUUCUAUUCACGGUAGGUCAUCGAGAAAAGAGGAAUUAAACGGAACCUUUGGAACUAAAACGAAUGCUAACCUACGGACCUGGAUAGCAGUCUUUGUGGAAGGAGGUCGCUUGUCGGUGCUGAGUGGUUAUAAUCUGCUUAUUCUGGGGGGAAAUCUGAAACAUCAAGUAAGAGACAAGCCUUGAACCACCAAUUACAAUCAGUUCGAUCUCUUCCUGGGACUGGGAAACAGGUUGUAUUCCCUGUCCAGAUGGGGACUUCAAAGUUCGACGGGGUUUAAAUUCUGAAGGCUAUGGGACAACGCAUCAAUCUUGGCAAAUUCAUCCUGACUGUGCUCCUGGCGUUGCAGGUGUAUGUAGCAGGAAUGCUGGCCACAGAGAUUCAGUGUGAGCAUAUCUACCAGGGAUUUUCUGACUGCGUCCUAAAACUUGGAAACAACAUGGCUAACCUGAGGGAUGAAGCAGAAGAGGGUGAAGAGCUGCAGGUAGUCUGUGGCUACUGGGAAGAAUUUCAUUCCUGUGCCAUGUCAACACUGUUGGACUGCCAGGCAGAAGCUGCCAGCAUCUGGGAAGCCCUACGGAAGGAAUCACAGAAGCUCCAGUUUCAAGGAAGCUUGUUUGAGCUCUGCAACCCAAAUGGAACUCAAGGUCUCAGUUCUACUCUUCUAAUGAAAACUUGUUUUGUACUGAUGUCUCUUCUCUUCACAUUAGUUAAUUUGUAGAUAUGGAUUAUGAAGAAAUGCAAAAGUCCAAGCUGAUCAGGUGAUAAAGACAUCAGUGGAGGAGUCUAAGCAUAUUUAUUCCUAAAUAGACUGUAUUUAUUUUUCUGUACAUUAAAUACUCCCUUUUUUGACAUGUCAAGAGAAAUGUGUGUAUGAGAAGAACAGUAACAUUAAUAGCAACCUGUUAAAGUAAAAAUAUGAAACUGGUUAUACAUUUGUCACAAAAUACAUAUGAAGAAAAACAGGACCAUUUUUGCAGAGUGUAGAACAUAGAUAUCACUUUAUUUUCCCUGCAAAUUUUCUGCAGUGUAAAAUCAUUUAAAACUGAAGCCUCCCAGGAUGCAUGACUCUUGAUGACUGACUGUUGAGAUGACUUCAGGCAAUGUCACAUCCCACCAUAAAACAGCAGGUUAAGUCUUUAUUUUUAAAUCUGCUAUCAUAUGCAAAUGAGUCAGUAGCUGUUCUCAGGCACUCCAGCUGGUUUUAUUGCACUGCAGUAGUUACAUCAGUUGAACUAUCUGAAAAAGAAAAUUAGUUGUGUUUUGGUAAAGAACUGCAAUUAAAUGUAUACCCACUGUAUCUGUGUGUCAAAUCCUAGCAGUAGCCUUGUGAAAAUGAGGUUGAUCUUCAGACUGUCUUGGUAAUUACCUCCCUCAACCCCUUUUUAGGUAAAUUUAAGCUGGCUAAAGAAGAUACUACUGAAAGGAAAACAGCCUUACAGACUGCAGUUCAGUCUGUCAAGUAGCCGUGUAAGAGAUGUAACAAGGAAGACUUGAGUUGCCCACAUCAGUAGUUUGUCAUCUGGGCCAAGGUCUGUGCAACUCCAGCCAAAAGGAAGAUGAGCAGGUCUGCCAACGGACUUUAAAGACAUGACAAAGACACAGCUGGCAGGUUCCCUUGCUUAGCUUGUAAAUGAGGCUGGCAUCUCAGACAGCUUUGUUAGAGUCUCCCUGCUUCUUUUUCCUUGCAUGCCAAGAACUCAUCUGCCAUAGUAGAUGGUCAGAGCAGUAAUAUUAGCAAAGAUGUAGCUCAGUGAAGAGUUCUGGAAAUGAGCAUAUCUGGCAAUUAGUGCAGAGAAUUAAGGAUUUGAGCUGUUAAUGGGUCUCCUUUUGUAGUAAGGGUACAAGGUUUGAUUCAUAUCACCUCCGUUUGCCGACUGAGUGAUUCUGAGCAAGUUACUCAACUAGAUAGUGCUCCCCAAUCACAUUUGAAAAGGGCAUUUGUGUCUAGUGGGCUUAGUGGAUCAACAGAUUAAAGAAAUGAGCAACUAAUUAAAUCUUCUAAUGUAACAAAGCAUUUAAAGGGACAGCCCUUGCAACCUACAGAAAUGUAUGUUGCAGUUUGUUUUUUCAUUUACAUAUGUUUUCCUGGCAAAUGCUUCACAUUACCUGUUAAUAAUUUUUCCUAAAUGAUACUGCUGUUGAUGCAGAAGCCUAACAACAUCCAUUUUGGCAUUAUAACUCUUCUUAUGCUUGCAUUGUCUCCUGUCUAAUGUGGCAGUGAUGUAGCUGGGCUUUUACAUUCAACAAACACUGCUGCAUAUUAAAAGGUACAGUUAUAUUAUAACAACUAUUUUAGGUCAGUUACAAUAUUUAAACAGGGUGCAAAGGAGAAUUCCACCCAGAUCUCAAUUUUUUCUUUCCAAAAUUGACCUUCCUUCCAUGUAAUCCAAUGUUAACACAUCACAUACAGAAAAAAGAACAUAACUAAAUAAUUCUGCCAUUUGUUUUAUGUCUGAACUUAUUUCUGGUUGCCUUUCUUUCCUACAUUUAUCUCAUCAUUAGUUACAUCAUGAAGGCUAGGAGUGGCAGAGUAAUUAGGUUAGGUCACUUAUUCCAGCUACAUAGCCAUUAAAGAAAACAGCAGAUCUUAAAAGAUGGCAUUUAAAUAUACCUUAUCAGUCACAGAUUGCCAGCAUCACACCUCAUGUAAAAAGUGUGGUCCAGUGUCUGAAUAAAAGCAAAACUUUCAAGGUUAGUUUUCAGAUACAAAUUAACAAGAAAACGCAACACUUGAUUAGUUUUUUUAUUGCAAAUUGUCUUUCCCUUUAGUCAAAAUCUUAAGUGCCACAAAGAAAUAAAAUGUUUUAAUCUUACGCUUCUUAGGUUUGUCAUUAUUUGAUUUUGUAUUUUUUUUCUUCACUGUACUUUCUGUAAAGUGUAUGUUUUUUCUGGUGUUUUGUUACAGCAUUUUGCGAUGCAUACAGUAUUUUGUUGAGACAAGUCAGUGAGUUAGGUUGGGAAGAUUAUUACCAAAAUCUGUAAUUCCAGCCACAAUAUGAAUGCAACACAAACCAAGUAACACAUGUUAAUCACAUGGGUCAGGCUUCUCUCUCUUUGCCGCACACACACACACACACACACACACACACACACACACACACACACACACUAAAUUACAGUUCUCGCUUUAAAAAAGAGCAAUUAUCUCAGCUACAUUUUCAAGCUUAUCACUAAACAUUCCUUACCUUAAUAUGCUGUAUCAGCACUAAUAAAAACAAUGGAAACACAGUUAUAGGUAGUCACAGUACUGCUGUAAGCUGAUACAGAGAGAACCACGGUGAAUUAUCUCAUCAUAGGGAUUUCUCUCUAUCCCUCUAAAAAAACUUCAGGGAGGCAAAGGUAUUGACUGUAAAACAAAAUCAUAAACCAUGGCAGCCCACAUUUGGGCCAUUUUUGGCUACAACAAAUUAGCAAAUAAUAAUCACGUACUUUCAUACAGAGACAUUAGUAAUGCAGAAAAGUUCAAGAUAUGCUGAAGAACAUAUGUGUUUUUGGUUUUUGGAUGUAGUUCUCUUUUAAGUCAGUUGUACUACUAGGAACAGCUCUAGUAUUUGACUAAAGUUAGAUUUUAUGUAAAAAGAUGACUCCAAAUUUUCACCAUAUCCUACCUGGCAGAUCUUUUCUGUUACUACAAGUUAUCCGAGAAAAAACAAAUGACCACCUACCCUCCCCCCCCCCAAUAUCCAAGCAGGCAAAGGCCUCAGAAACCCCUCAACUAAAUUCAACCAACUCCAAAGUUGUAGCACCUUGGGAUAGGUCAUAUUUCAUAGAAGAUGCUUUUGACUAUCCUCAAAAUUCAAUAGAUAAGCACAUUACAAUUAAAGAGUAACAAAAGUACCAAUAACCAGUGAAGUACAAGAUAAAAUCCCGAUUAAAGUAUAAAAACAUAUUCAAAUAAGUAUUUUGAUGAAAGUAUAAAAAGUCUUAAAAAAAUAAAAGUUCUCAUCAAAUGAAAGAUGCAAGAGGUAUUGAAGUUUUGCAACAAGGUACAUUGUCAUCACUUUUACCCAUAGUUCUGGGUUUGAUUCCAUCAGUGUCCAUGUGUAUGUGGUGCUACACCAAUGUUCCUUUGUCACACUUGAAUGGGGCAUAUGAUUUGGGACCUUUACCCCAUGAAUUACAUUUGCAUCAGUCUAUUUGAUUAUUUCCUUCUAAUGACAAUAAUAAAUUGCAUCUUUAAAUGUAUAACCUGGUAAAAUGCAACAUGUAACCCAGUAUACAGAAGUCAAUGAUGCCAUGAAGAGAGAAAGACACAAAAAGGGUAGCACGUUCCAAGUAGAAGAUUAGAAUAAAAUGUCAUAGCUCAGAAGUGAUAUUCACCUAAUUAUCUUAAGUUAGCAGAAACCAGAAUAUCAGAAAUGCAUGGCAGAUAUGGGCCAGUUCAUAUAAGUUAGUGUUAGAUAUAAUGGCAGUGAUGCAGUGAAUAUAUAUAUGUGUGUGUGUGUGUGUGUGUGUGUGUGUGUGUGUGUGUGUGUGUGUGUGUGUGUGUGUGUGUGUGUAGUGUCAAUAGGACUUAUGACAUGGCACAUUUUUAUGCAGUGUUUAUUUAUUUGAAGUUAUUUUUAUGUAGGAAAUGGGGGGGGUCCCUAAAGGUUUUAAGUAACUGAACUAAAUAAUGAACGUUUCUUCCAUAAUAAAAACAAUAACUAAACAAUACUCUUGCAUGAUCUGAAGUCAGAAUAUGCAAUAAGUAUGCCAGCAAAGCCUAUAGCACAGAAGAAGACAUGCCAGAGUACAGUUUUUCUUUUGCCUUUAGGAGACGCUAGGACAAACAAUAUCAACAAAGCAAACAUGAAAUCUGACUAAUAGCAGUGGUAAAACCUGAAUUACAAUCAGUGCUAUUUAUUUCUGUCUCACAGUCUUUGUACAUAUAUAGCUGGAGUCUGCUACAUAAAAUAUUUUAUGCUGUAAGACUGGACAGUGAGUUUUUAAUGAAGCAAUGAAGCCACAAACCUUUAAACUAAAUUUUCUAAUCUUAGCCCCCUUGUUUGAGGCUUCAUGUUCACAGUAUCUUUACCUUAUUUUAACUCCAUAGUUAGUACAGCUUCCAGAAAGUGCAACAAUUAAAAAAAAUAAAACUAUUAACUUGCUCUUCUAUAAAACACCAUGGUAGGUAGAUAGGUAGAUAGGUAGAUACAGAUAAAUAAGGUAUGCAUUUGUGUAAGUAAGCUGCAGUGCUUGAUUAAAACUACACACACACACACACACACACACACACACACACACACACACACACACACACACACACACACACACACACACACACACACAAACACACACACACAGGCAUAAUUGUAGUUUUAGUUAAUUCAUACAACCACACACACAUAUGUAUGUACAUAUAUGUAAUUCUUUAAAAUACUACAGUGAAAUGUGAACUGUCAUACCGUGGGCCUGGCACCAUUUCAUGUUUAGGAACUAUACUGUAAAAAUAACAGUAAUACACAUUCACAUAACAUCAUUAAAGCUUAUGUUUUGUUGUUGCUCCAGACAUGACAGAUUGUUCUGAGCAUCCUCUGCACCCUCUGAAUGACUUUGGUUUGUGGUACAGUCAUUUUCAACUUCUUCCUGUGAAUUUGUGUCAGUAAUAAUGCCACUGUCCAUAGCUAAGAAUGUAGUUCACAACCCUGUUUCUAGGAGGGACAUAUCUUCUAGUUUUGUAAAUAGAGAGCAGUACUACUCCCAGAACAUAUUGCAGGCCAGAGUGCUAAAUCCUCAAUGACCUUCUGCUCACUUUCUUCUUCUAUGACCCUGAAGUAGCAGCUGUAUCAACUUUGCUGAAAAAAAGAAAAAGCAUCCGCGAAGUAUUGUGAUUGAUGUGUUCUCGGAUGUAUGUAUGCAUCAGGCAAACUGGGUAUGGAAUCAUUACUGAUAGGUUCCAUAAUGUUGCUAGCAAGCCCUGUUUUGGGGUUUUCCAAAGUAGCAAGGCCUGUUUUGGGUUUUCCAAAUAUUACUGUUUUAGUAGACUUUUGUUCUUGUUUCUGUUAAGACUUUACAAAUUACCUGUCUGUACGGUUGCAUUUAUGGUGUAGGUUUGAUUGUAAGAACAGACCCAAAAUGAAUUUAGUUUCAUUGCAUUAUUUCAACAAAUGUACAGUCACCUGAUAACAUUGAUACUGACAAAACAACAAUGCAUUACUUUGGCCAUUGUGGGCCAACCCUCACUCCAUACAUCCGGAUCUUAACUAUGCUAAUUCUGGUGUCAUCCAGUCUCAUAAAAAAAAACAAGAACACUCAGUCUGACCAGUAGUCUCCCUUUCUGUGCAGUAUUGUGCAAUCUACUUUUUAAAGGGAUGUUUGUAGAACUGCAGGCUUAUAAUAUUUUUAUAAUAUUUUAUUUUGUAGAUUGGCAGUUUGAUGAAUGCAUAUGUAUUAACCAUCAGUAUAGCAAACGAGCACAAGUUGCACUAGUGAUAUGGUUUCCAAAAGUAGAAAUAGAUAUUCUGCACUAUGCCCAUUUUUUUAUUUCCAGAUAGGAUGGGGUGGCUUCCAUUUGACCUUUGCAUCAUUUGGCUUCCAUGAAUUAUCAGGUAAAGUUUUAAUCUUAAGACUGGCUUGUGGUAUCUUUCCAUAGUGCACAGCUGCAUAUACAUACAUACACAUAUAUAUAAAAUUUGGAAUUAUUGUAUGUUGCAAGAAGGUAAGUAUAUCAUUUAAAAUUAAUUGUCACACAAAUACUAAUGCAUUAUAUCAACAUAUUAAUAUCAACAUAAAACAAUUAACAUGCAAAGCAUGGUAGACAAUGUCUGUCAAGCAAGAAAUGUAAACAUUUACUAAAUAUUUAAAGCUUUUUGUUUUUAUCAGAAAUCAAAAACAUGCAAUAGAAAGGGAUACUUGUCAUCUCUGUUCUGUGAGUUUAGUAACACCUGAAUCACCUUGAAAGAGAUUACAAAAUUCAGUCCAAAAGAAAAGAA